CCUACGGGUGGCUGCAGUGGGGAAUAUUGGACAAUGGGGGGAACCCUGAUCCAGCCAUGCCGCGUGUGUGAAGAAGGCCCUCGGGUUGUAAAGCACUUUCAGUGGGGAAGAACGCCUUGUAGUUAAUACCCAUCAGCAAAGACAUCACUCACAGAAGAAGCACCGGCUAACUCCGUGCCAGCAGCCGCGGUAAUACGGAGGGUGCGAGCGUUAAUCGGAAUUACUGGGCGUAAAGCGCGCGCAGGUGGCUUGAUAAGCCGGUUGUGAAAGCCCCGGGCUCAACCUGGGAACUGCAUCCGGAACUGUCAAGCUAGAGUGCAGGAGAGGAAGGUAGAAUUCCCGGUGUAGCGGUGAAAUGCGUAGAGAUCGGGAGGAAUACCAGUGGCGAAGGCGGCCUUCUGGACUGAGACUGACACUGAGGUGCGAAAGCGUGGGGAGCAAACAGGAUUAGAUACCCCGGUAGUC
rnacentral:rRNA from 1 species